AAGUAACCUGUUUGUCCUCUUUGGUUCCGUAUAGCGCACGGCUCAUUUAGAUGAGCCAUUCCCCUAAGCCCAGAAUGAAUCAUUUGAUUCUGGGCUACUUUUC
rnacentral:sRNA from 1 species